ensembl:lncRNA
AUGAAUGGACUACAUUUUUUAAAGUUCAAAGUUGUGAUUUUGGUCUGUUUUCAGAUUUUGGGAGAGAGUGCUGCCAGCACUGCCACUUCAGAUCCUGAAGAUGAUGGAGAUGGAGACAUCUCUACAAUGGACCCUGAGCCAGAAGUGGUCCAUCGUGGAUCACAGUGCAACAUAAGAUGUUUACAUCGUUCAUUAGCUGUUCAGGUAAAGCCUCAGAUGGUGGAUGUGGGGACUCAAACCGAAAGGUUUGAGCAUCGCAGAUCAACUCCACUGGCCAGUCCUGAACAAAGUGAUGAUGAAUGGUCAUUUUCUGAUAUCAUCAACCAUUCUGGUGAUAUGUCAUGGAGUCCAGGGGAGGAGAUGUUGAGCGAGUCCUCUGAGGAGGAACCAGAAGAGCUGGAAUCUCUCAGUCACCCAAAUGCUGUUGACAAGUUCAUUGUUUGCCAGAGGCAGUUGCUGUCCUUGUUUACGGUUUGCCCUGUAUGCUGUGGGGAAAACAGAAAAACAAAAAUGGCGGAGAGAUUAGAACAAUUGAUCUUGUCAGUAUCUGAAUGUGCAAUUCUCUUUGAUCUCUCUGAUGAGGGUUAUAGAGACAUCAAUCGGAAGGCUGCUGCGUGGAGGAAAGUUGCCCAGGACGUUGACAUGUCAGGGCAGCUAAAUGUGAUAUAGUGGUAUAUAGGGCUGCAACAACCCUGCACUCGAGCGAGAGAGUAUUAACUGCCCUAAUAAUUUUAGAAAAUCAUGAAAAUAAAAAAAAAUGACAUGACA